UACGUAGGGGGCUAGCGUUGUCCGGAAUCAUUGGGCGUAAAGCGCGCGUAGGCGGCCAGAUAAGUCCGGUGUGAAAGUCAAAGGCUCAACCUUUGAAUGCCGCUGGAAACUGUCUGGCUAGAGUCCGGGAGGGGCGAGUGGAAUUCCUGGUGUAGCGGUGAAAUGCGCAGAUAUCAGGAGGAACACCAAUGGCGAAGGCAGCACUCUGGGACGUGACUGACGGCUGAGACGCGAAAGCGUGGGGAGCAAACAGG
rnacentral:rRNA from 1 species